rnacentral:tRNA from 1 species
UCUUAGAAAGUGGUGUAGAGGAAGCACUAAGAGUUUUGAUCUCUUGGGCAUGGGUUCGAUCCCCUUCUUUCUAA